rnacentral:lncRNA from 1 species
AGGAGCAGUUGAGAUAUGAGUUGCAUCAUGUGGAGAAAGUCUUGACAGCCCAAAAUCCGCGACUUUGACACCAAAAUUGUUGUCAAGGAGAAUGUUAGUAGUCUUAACAUCGCGGUGUAUUAUGUCAGAAGCGUGGAGAUAAGCUAAAGCGCUGGCAGUUUCUAUGGCAAUUUUCAAUCGGAUAGGCCAUGUUAGGGUACUCCCAUUCUUUGCUUUUUCACCGUGGAGGUGAUCAGCAAUUGUACCAUUUGGAAUGUAUUCAUAAACGAGGAGUUCACGACUAUGCCUUGACGUGCAACCAUUGCGGAUAGGCCAUAUAAGGGUACUCCCGUUCUUUGCUUUAUCACCGUGGAGGUGAUCAGCAAUCGUUCCAUUUGGAAUAUAUUCGUAAACGAGGAGGAGUUCACGACUAUGCCUUGAUGUGCAACCAUAAAGCAUAACAAGAUUCUGGUGCCUUAGUCGAGUAAGAAUUUCAACUUCAUUCUUAAACU